rnacentral:lncRNA from 1 species
CUCCUCAUGUGUUGAAGUGUAACGCUACCCCAAUCGAGUCGAGUGCGCAUUUUCCUUAUGUGAAAUGGUUGUUCCCCUGCAUGAGUCGAAUGCUUCAGUUUUACCAUGACUUAUUCGUAUCCCCUACAUGUGCUGUUGUUUUUCCUCGGCUGAGUCUUUGCAUUGUUAUGUGGAUCCCCUCGAAUACCCCAGUAGUUUUAAGUCGUAGCCUGGCCUACGCAUAACUCCCUUUUAUCCCCCCAAGAGUCUCU